rnacentral:rRNA from 1 species
UACAGAGGUCUCAAGCGUUGUUCGGAUUCAUUGGGCGUAAAGGGUGCGUAGGCGGCGCGGUAAGUCGGGUGUGAAAUCUUGGAGCUUAACUCCGAAACUGCAUUCGAUACUGCCGUGCUUGAGGACUGGAGAGGAGACUGGAAUUUACGGUGUAGCGGUGAAAUGCGUAGAUAUGUGGAGGAACACCAGUGGCGAAGGCGACUCUUUGGCCUGUAACUGACGCUGAGGCGCGAAAGCGUGGGGAGCAAACAGG